UGCUAGGGUGUUUUGUAAUUUUGAAACAAUAGUUUUCCUUAAGAGGAUGUAAGAGUGGAUUGGGGAGGUUUUGACCUACUAAGGUUGCAACCUCCGGGUGCUCCCGUAUCAGAUAAGGGUGACCAAGCAGGGGCUCACCCAUUCAUGGCUGACCAGCUACCUAACAAUCUCUGUUUGCCUUUCUCAAGUCUUUCAUGCACUCUGACUAUGGGAUUUCUGGAGGUAGGCCCACAGGCCCUCAUGUGUUCCUGUCUCCACCCUUGGGUCCCUUCAGCUGCUGACACUGAUAAGGAUGACCAGAAGCUUUGAUUCUACUCUUCCCCCCGAGAUAAUCCUGACCAGAUUUAGUGCUACAGCUGGACCAGAAGAUGAUUUAAGGACAUGGCCCCAUCUCUCCAGGACAUUGGGAAACUGGGCAUCAGAUCCUCUCUUGUCCUUCCCCUUGUUUCUCAAAAGUGGCACCGUCUCUGGCAUCAGGGCCUCAGUUUCCCUUCUACAUAGUUCUGUUCCUAUCAAAAUAGGAAUACUGCAAAUCUAUGCCUUUUACUAAAACCACAGGUGUCUGGAUCUUGUAUAUCACUGACAAGUUUCUUCCUGGAAGCCUAUUCAAAAAGUCUCCUUGUGUUCCAUCUCCACGGGCACAAUGCCACUCAUCCUGAUUUUCCAAGACUCCCCGCAACAAGUUCUUUGAAGGGACAGCUGGAUCCUGUCCAGGUGAUCAGGAGCAGGUACUCACAUUUCCACUCCAGCAGCUGGCUGAUUGCUGGGCUGAAGGGGUUUAAGGUGACUCUGUUAAUUGAUGCACAAAACAACCCAUCAAAAGGUACCUGACUUCAUCCCCUUUUUGGGAUGCUCAGGACAUUUCCCCACCUCUACAGUUCAGUCUCUGAGGCUAGGAGUCUCUGAUUAAGUGUCCAGCCUGGUAUCAUCAUAGGCCUACUUUACAGAUGAGAGAAACUAAGGCUCAGAAAAAACAAUGAGUUGCCUCGAGUAGAACAACUGGGAACUCCUGAAGUUGACCAGUCAACUGUGUGAAGCUUUCUGGAUGACAGCAUUCAACCAACAUGGGAAGGAAAAGCUCUGAAAAGCACCGUGUCUGAGAUUUCUCCCUGUGACGUAUCCAACAGAGUCACCUCCAGGUGUUCACAUCAAGUUCUCAGGUUUCCCAUCUGAAAACCCGGGUCAAGCUCCCCACAGCCUGCCAGAAUCAGAACUUGCUCACAACUGCAGGGUUUUGGAGAUGGCAAUGGAAGGGCCCAGAGAACAGAGAAUCCAAAGUUUUCAUAUAUGAAAAACAAAUGCUGAGGACUCAAAAAAGAGACGCUGGUUUUCCCAAGAUGCCUAGAUGGUGGGCGCCAUCUGCACGGCAUGUUGGAUGGACACAAGACUCCUUAGCCAUGUCUUUGAAAGCAGGUAUUGUAAAGGAGACAGGGCUUAAAAAUAAGGAUUGCUGGAAGAAGUUAACAAUUGCAGCAUCAACUAACAUGGAGAGGGAUCUCCCUGAAAAUACAUGAAGGGAAUUCUGAGAUGAUGAACAACCCAAGGAGAUCAAUCUUCAAACUUGGUUUAAGCAAUUCUAUAGUGAAGAAGGGUUGGAAAUGAGUUAUAGGAACAUUUAGGAUGCCUCCUAAAGUGUUGUAAAUAAUUAUAUCUGCUUUCCACGUAUUAAAUCAUAUCUGGUUUACA